GAUGAACGCUGGCGGCGUGCUUAACACAUGCAAGUCGAACGAAGCACUAUAUUUGAUUUCCUUCGGGACUGAUUAUUUUGUGACUGAGUGGCGGAUGGGUCAGUAACUCGUGUGUAACCUGCCUUGUACAGGGGGAAAACAGGUUGAAACGGCUGCUAAUCCCCCAUAAGCACCCGGCAUCGCAUGAUGCAGUGUGAAAGACUCCGGUGGUAUAAGAUGGACCCGCGUUGGAUUAGAUAGUUGGUGCGGUACCGGCCCACCAAGGGGAGGAUCCAUAGCCGAGAUGGGAGACUGAGCGGACACAUUGAGACUGGGACACGGCGGAAACUCCUACAGGAGGCAGCAGUGGGGAAUAUUGCACAAUGGGCGGAAGCAUGAUGCAGCGACGGCGCGUGAGCGAAGUAGUAUUGCGGUAUGAGAAGCUCUAUAAGAAGGGAAGAUAAUGACGGUACCUGACUAAGAAGCACCGGCUAAAUACGUG
rnacentral:rRNA from 1 species